rnacentral:rRNA from 1 species
UACAGAGGGUGCGAGCGUUAAUCGGAAUUACUGGGCGUAAAGCGCACGUAGGCGGCUUUGUAAGUUAGAGGUGAAAGCCCGGAGCUCAACUCCGGAAUUGCCUUUAAGACUGCAUCGCUUGAAUCAUGGAGAGGUGAGUGGAAUUCCGAGUGUAGAGGUGAAAUUCGUAGAUAUUCGGAAGAACACCAGUGGCGAAGGCGACUCACUGGACAUGUAUUGACGCUGAGGUGCGAAAGCGUGGGGAGCAAACAGGG